UACAGGGGGUGCAAACGUUGUUCGGAAUUACUGGGCGUAAAGCGCGUGUAGGCGGCUCGGAAAGUCGGAUGUGAAAGCCCUGGGCUUAACCUAGGAAGUGCAUUCGAAACUCCCGAGCUUGAGUUCUGGAGAGGAAGGCGGAAUUCUCGGUGUAGAGGUGAAAUUCGUAGAUAUCGAGAGGAACACCGGUGGCAAAGGCGGCCUUCUGGACAGUGACUGACGCUGAGACGCGAGAGCGUGGGGAGCAAACAGG
rnacentral:rRNA from 1 species